UAUCCGCCCGAGAACUACGAGCCUACAGCUUAAAACUUAAAGGACUUGGCGGUGUCUCAUACCCAACUAGAGGAGCCUGUUCUAUAAGCGAUAACCCACGAUCAACCUUACCACCUUUUGCCAUUCAGCCUAUAUACCGCCGUCUUAAGCUUACCUUAUGAAAGCUAAAAAGUAAGCAAAAUAGCCCAUACAGCUAGAAAGUC
rnacentral:rRNA from 1 species